UGAGUAGAUCUGUAGCCCACAACUCCAGAAGAGCAGAGGGUAACCUAAAGGCUCUGACACUGCAGAGACAACUGGAGAGGGAAGUAUCCUCUGACCUUGGAAAUGUCCUCUUAUUUCUUUUGGUUCAGCUUUCCCCAUCAGGUGAAGGCCUUGGACUGAGCUGACCCUGGGGGGAGACAAGAGGAAGAGGCCCAGGGAAAGGACCCUAAUUCAAUCCCAUACUGUAUUCACUAUUGCCCACAUCUGAGAGAAAGGAGAAGAGGCCUCUGAGCUGUAAGAGUUCUGGGAAUAUGUCUGUCAAACCAUGAAUUCCUUGUUGUUUGGUGGAAUAUCACUGCUGAUUGUGACCAGUCAGCAUGGAUUAGAACUUCUCUAGUGCGGCAGGAAACAGACUGUGUCUGAGAACUUGAAACACCGUCAUCAACCUUGAAUAGCCCUAUCCCGGCAGGAGCAAUGGAGGCUACUAGUAGAGCCACUGACUUCUAACAACCCUCCGUCAGCAUCCCACUCGAUGGCUGGUGCAUGGAAGAUCUCCACUGAAGAAGAGGAGCAGGAAAAGGUGUCCCAGGUAGAUUUUAAAGAGAUGCUCUCUACACCAGAGGGGCAGACCAGUGCCAGAACCAGGAAAAUGAGAGGGAGGAGUAGGGGCUGGAGACACUGAUCAGAACCCAAUAGACUCUCUGGAAUGACAAGGACUCUGAGGGAAGAAAUUGAGUUCAGAUGUGUGGUGUUUUUCAAAAAUCUGUAAAUUUUCUGGGCUGUCUGAGUAAAGUGUAUAUUUACAAUGUUUCUUUGCAAA